AUCCCACCUUGGCCUUUGGGCUAAGAUCAAGUGUAGUAUCUGUUCUUAUCUGUCUCUUUUUGUUGGUUGGUUUAGAGCACCUUGC